AACUUUCAACAACGGAUCUCUCGGCUCUGGCAUCGAUGAAGAACGCAGCGAAAUGCAUAAGUAAUGUGAAUUGCAGAAUUCAGUGUAUAAUGCCGUGGCCAGAGAUACACGGUAGGUAGGUUGCACAGGUGCACAGUCGAGAGAGA
rnacentral:rRNA from 1 species